UGGAGGAAGAGGUGGAAUAGAAGGAGGGUGGUGGGGGGAGUGGGGGGUGCGCGAAGCAUGCAGACACUCCGCGUCUCUGUUCUACUUCAGUAUGCACGCGGACAGCGAGUAGGUCGGAUAUUGUGUUCAACUGUGUGUGCGUGUGUGUGUGUUAGUGUAAUUAGUGUAUUAGUGUUCAUCUAUAUAUAUAUAUAUUUAUCACUCUUCUUUGAUUUUUUUUUUUAAUUUUCUUUUUUGAUUUAGUGUAAUUAUACAGAAGGCUGCCAAACGUAUUUCAUAUUUUGUAUUUUACAUUGAAUUAUUAUUAUCUUUGGUAGUACAAGGGGAUGAAGGUUAAUGAGAUUUAUAAAGAUCUGGAAAUUAUUUGUGGUUUCUGAUGAAAUUUUUGUAUGAUAGUAAG